CGGCCCGUAGCUCAAUGGCAGAGCACUCGGCUUAUAUCCGAACGGUUCCAGGUUCGAGCCCUGGCGGGCCGA
rnacentral:tRNA from 1 species